GGGACCGCAGCCUCGGUACACUUCCCGAGGUGCCUCCACAGCAGCAGAAGGAGCAUCUCACUGCCCCGCGCUGAGCAGCCUGAGGAGCGCCUAGAGCUGCAACAGAGCCAACACAGCGAGACGCGCUGCCCUGUGCUCUCUUGGCUUUCCCAGAAAGCAGGCGGUGGCCACAGCCAAAGCUGGGGGGUAGAGGCCUGUGAGCUGCUGGCUAAAUGGGCAGAACAGCUCCCUGCACGCCCGGCACGGAAGCCCAGGCUUUUCCAGCCGGCUUCUGAGCCCCCGGGGGAAGAGGCAGAGCCAGCAGCCUUCACGACAUGCUACCCGAGCCCCAGAGAGACUUGGCUUAGCUACAGACACGUGGAAAAGGCAAAAAAAGCUGAAAAGUCAACAGACCCUGUAAGCUACUUGGGAAGUCCUUAAGGAGAGAGAGAUUAAGAAGAAAAAUAUUUUCUGUGUUAAACAAAGGAAAAAUGCUGUGACACAGUGCAUCGGGAUCUCAUGUGAUUUUGUCUUGAUUUCCAGCAUACAAAUAACUAUUUUUUUCAGUAAUAAUUACAAUUUUAUAUAUCCCUUUAAAAGAGAUUAAAAGAAAACAGACUUAGAGAAGAAAAAGACAGAGAUUAAAGGGUUCUUUAAAUCAGAAUAGAGAAUCAUCAAAGAACUCCAAUCUGGAACCUGCAAUGACCGCAAAAAAAAAAAAAAAAAACAGUCCCAGAUGAGAGCGAUCUACAGUGUAAUGGAAGUUUGGUUUCUUUGUAAACUCGGGUAUUUUGACAGUGAGACGUCAGCUUCUGCCAGCACCCCCAUUCUAUCGCAAAGAAGAUGCUGCACAUCGAAGAACCUCCAUAAAGAGUUUGCUUUAAGAGUGGUAAGCUCGCCACUGGGUGAAAACGACCCUUGCUUCAGCUGCAGAUGGCGUACCGUCAACACUGUGGACAAGCAGGACACAGAAGAAGUCCAUUUCCUAUCUUUGCCAAGACAAGAGAGAAAUGUUCCAGAGAACCUCUCAGGGCGAUCCAGCUGAGCCUUGCGGCUUUUACUGACUCGUCCCGAUCUUCUGAAUCAUCUUCUGAAUCCUGCUGGUUCAUGUUGCUGCUUAGUGUUGGCCUUUGGACUGGACUUCUGGUAUCUGGACAACAAAGAGUGGACUCAUCCCAAGGAAUUACUUUCAAAAAGGUCUACAAUCCCCUUUACCUAAUAAGCUCCUUUUCCUCCCAUCUCUGGUUGGUGGGUGGAAGGGAGGUAGAAGCAUUUAAGAUUUGGUGAAAAAUCUAAGCCUACAGACAUGUAUAGAAGAAAUAGCUGUGUGUCUCUUAUCCUCUCUAAUACCUUCCCCAAACCGGUAAACUCUCAGCAUGCAGCAACCCCAAGGUAUAGUGGGACAAUAGAAUUAGUUUCCAAAAUUAGUGCUUUGUAUCUUACCUAGUACUGAUCUGCUAAGAUGAGACAUCUUUUUAAUCUCAGAGGCCUCUACUAAAGUAGAUAAAAAUGGGAAAAAUUCCUUUGUGUCUCAAAUUAUUUGCUCUCCUAGCCCAGCUUCCCUGGCUGUAGUGACUAUGAUUAGUAAAGAAUACUUUGAUUGAAAUUCAUCUUUGAAUCUCUCAAACCUUGAAUCUUUUCUUAUU